GCUGGAGACUCUGCAACUUCUACAGGUUCACCAUAGACCCUUUUCACAGCAGCUAUUUUGACAUGUAAUAGGGUAAUCACAGCUGUAAAGCUCUACAGAGGGUGGUGAAAACUGCACAGACCAUCACCAGGAUGAAGCUGCCAUCCAUGGAGGACCUCUACACCCAGCAGGAAGAAAGCCAACAGGAUCACCAACGAUCCCAAUACCCCAGCCACAAACUGUUCUACCAGCUGCUAUCAGGCAGACAUUAACACAGUAUCCGGUCCCCGCAUCAGAAUAUUUGUGCAGCUUCCUACAGAAGACUCAGAGUGUUUGUGUGCUGGCCGAUCCCGCAGGAACAGGCUCUGUGGUUUCCUCAGGGCUCUACCUCGUCCAAGAGAUUUGACAUUAAUUAGGCUAGCUGACACUAAUUACUACCACCCACUGUCGGGGAAAGGGGAGUUCUUUGGACAUCUGGCAAGCUGCUUUGGACUCAGGUCAUUCAAGGACAGGUACCUGCUGUAGUUUUAGGUGGGAGGGAGCACUGAUGGGCACAUGGGAGAGAGCGGGCCUGCCUGAUGGUGAAGCAGUUAUGGCGAGGGAAGGACGAGGGAUGUUGUGAGGGAGGAAGAGAAAGAUGGAGGUGGCUGGACGCAAAUGAAGACAGAGUUGUUGUCAUGACAAGAUUGCUCUAGAAAUGGAGAGAAAAAUCAGCUGCUAUCAGAGAGCCCCCUCCACCCCACCAGAGACUACAAUGAAGAAAUGUAGUUUUCUCAGCUCAACUCUUGGGGAUAUCGACAUAAAUAAUUCAUCAUCUCUCUGCCAUUUGAAGCUAUUAACAUAUUAAACUGUGAUGUGCAGGGCUGACUCAAGAAUCGCCUCCAGACCUUUUGAAACCUUUUGGUGUUAGGAAUAAUUACACAGACUGAAAAUACCCUUUUUUUUCCCUUUCACCCUGCAGUAAAAAUGUCACCUUGUUGUGUUUCCUACCUCAGCAGUGGUGUAGCAUGUGCUAUGUGUGCUCACACACACGCCUUUUUUUUGGUCACACUACAGAAAGUCUA